UAUUCUCAAACAAGAUAGCUUUGUUGCUAUGUCUGUUUGGAUCUGGACUCUGCUGUGUCAAUGCGGCUAGUCUUAAAUGCAUUAGCUGAUCCCUUGUGGGCUUGGUUCUACUCAGCGUGAUAAUUAUCUAGCGUUGAGGACAGUCUCAGAACUGGCCAGGCGUCUCUUUGGAUUGCUUCUAAUCGUCUCUGGGACAAUUUUAUUUAAU
rnacentral:misc_RNA from 1 species